rnacentral:lncRNA from 1 species
CAAUCUCAGACUUUCUUGUUUUUCUCUUGGUAGUAAGGGAAGCCGAGCCUGAGGCCUUGCCCUCCAGCCUUCUGCAGCCCCAGAUGCCUCUUCUACCUGCCCUGGUUUCUACACCUCUGUGCCUACCUUGACCACACCUUCAAAAUGGAACCCCUCCACGUUCCUGAGCUGCUUCCUGUUUUAUCAACAUAGCACUCAUCACUUUCUAACGUAUAGAUCCUCUCCCUGGGCAGAAGCGUGACGGAGGGCUGGAGAGCGGCAGAUUCUUUCCCCAUACUGGCCAUCGUCAAACUUUUCUAUAUCCACCUUCUUCCCAAAGCCUUGGGAUGUUUCCCAACUGUAAAAUGGGGAUAAAACCACACACCUUAUCGAAUUGUCAUGAGGAUUAAGUAAAUAAAUGUAGAUGAAAUGCCUAGAAUGACGCUUGGUGUGUAGUAACCAGUUGGCCAGGU